UACGUAGGGUCCGAGCGUUGUCCGGAAUUAUUGGGCGUAAAGAGCUCGUAGGCGGCCUGUCGCGUCUGCUGUGAAAGUCCGGGGCUUAACUCCGGGUGUGCAGUGGAUACGGGCAGGCUUGAGGUAGGUAGGGGAGAUUGGAAUUCCUGGUGUAGCGGUGAAAUGCGCAGAUAUCAGGAGGAACACCGGUGGCGAAGGCGGGUCUCUGGGCCUUACCUGACGCUGAGGAGCGAAAGCGUGGGGAGCGAACAGG
rnacentral:rRNA from 1 species